rnacentral:lncRNA from 1 species
CCAGGGAUAGAGCACUAAGAAUAUUUGGAUAUGUUAGGCUAUGGUGAGUUGCAUAGCACGUGGUAAGUUUGUAGAUAGCAUGGGAUUCAACUGUUGGAACAAAAAAAAAAAAAAUGGAAUAUCAUGUAUAUCUGGAUCUUAACUACAAUCUCAUCUAUGAUCCCCAGAAUUUAGGAGGUAGGAAUUUUUAGUCCUGUGUUAAACAUCCCCAUGCCUAGUGAAAGUCAGAACUGGGAUUCCAACUCCUGUUUGUCCAGCUCCAAAUCCUGUGCUCUUUAUGCCAUGCUGUGUCUGUGCUAAUUCAGACCAGAAUGUUGGUUGGAGAUGUUAGAACAAAUCAGUGACUGAAUGGUGUUAAGGUAGACAAGGUGAAGGAGAGAUUGAGACUCAUUAAGAUAUUUGGGGUGUGUGUGGGGGUUGGAGGUGGAACAUGGAUAUGGGUUGAAAAUAGUGCCUACUGUGUGUGAGGCGCUGAUCUAAGCAUCAGGGAUAGAGCGCUAAACAAGCCCAGACUUGAAGGAGCCUAGCUUCCUUGGAAUGGAACAUAUCCUUAAGGAUUGGUGCCAGGUCCUGUUUUGUGUAUUCGGUUUUCAUUCCUGAAGUGUCAGACCUGGCCUGGAAAUGCAGCGGUUUUGGGUGAAUUUUGCCUCUGAGACAGACCAACCCCUUCCUCAAGCAAAAUACCCACCUUCUUUUCUGUGGGACAGUUCAUGGAACAGCCAGCACCC